UGAGUACCACUCUGAGUUCACAUGUUAGUCUGUUGUGAACACAGCUGGUGGUAUCUCAGU
rnacentral:pre_miRNA from 1 species